rnacentral:misc_RNA from 1 species
UCUCCGUUGGUGAACCAGCGGAGGGAUCAUUACUGGAAUCGCAAGAUCCCACAACCCUGUGAACCUACCGAAACGUUGCCUCGGCGGGUGCCCCGGCUCCUCGCCGGGCGCCGCCCGCGCCCGCCGCGCCCUCCUCUUCCCCUGCAGCUUGGCAUCUCAGAGUUCCAGAAAGUAAGUCAAAACUAUCAACAACGGAUCUCAUGGCUCUAGCAUCGGUGAAGAACGUCGCUGAACGGAAGAGCACACGGCUAAACCACAGUUACUUCCUACGGUCCCAGU